AGUGAACGCUGGCGGUAGGCCUAACACAUGCAAGUCGAACGGCAGCACAGUAAGAGCUUGCUCUUACGGGUGGCGAGUGGCGGACGGGUGAGGAAUACAUCGGAAUCUACUUUUUCGUGGGGGAUAACGUAGGGAAACUUACGCUAAUACCGCAUACGACCUACGGGUGAAAGCAGGGGAUCUUCGGACCUUGCGCGAUUGAAUGAGCCGAUGUCGGAUUAGCUAGUUGGCGGGGUAAAGGCCCACCAAGGCGACGAUCCGUAGCUGGUCUGAGAGGAUGAUCCGCCACCCUCGAACUGCGACACAGUCCGGCCUCCUACGGGAGGCAGCAGUGGGGAAUCUUGGACAAUGGGCGCAAGCCUGAUCCAGCCAUACCGCGUGGGUGAAGCAGGCCUUCGGGUUGUAAAGCCCUUUUGUUGGGAAAGAAAAGCAGCAGGUUAAUACCCCGCUGUUCUGACGGUACCCAAAGAAUAAGCACCGGCUAACUUCGUG
rnacentral:rRNA from 1 species